GGCCCCUGCCCGUGGCCAGCUUCCUGCUGAUGAACAUGCUGUUUGUAUUGUUUUAGGAAACCAGGCUGUUUUGUGAAUAAAACGAAUGCAUGUUUGUGUCACGAAGCGCUGCUGCUCCUUGCGUCCUGCGUCCUGCAGCUCCCAGGGGCCGGCUCAGGGGCUGGGGCUGGGGAGGGGUCGGUGGGACCACUCUGAGGGGAAGGUGGUGGCCCAGGCACUGAGAGUGGGGGUCCCUUAGGGACAAGCGGCCUCAGGAUCCACGAAAGCAGAGUGGCCGGGCCCCAGCUGCCCCACCUGCCGGCUUGCACCUGGGGGUCACCGCCCACCUGCAUUCACUGGAAUUCCUCAGGCCUGACCAGCGGGAAGCGGGGGCGGGGCCCAAGCUGCCUGUCAGGCUCUCGUUUUUCCCCUGACCUGGCUGGAUCUGGGUCCCCCCCCAACCUCUGAUGUGGCAACCCCCUGGCGGUGCCCAGGGCACACACACACUCACACCCUCCUCCACGUGGCCUCUUCCUGGGGGUGUCCUUGCCCUUGGCUGUCCCCAACUCCAGAGGGUUUACUGGUGCAAGGCUGUCUGGGACCUCAGAAGCCACAUGCCUGGGGAAGUCCCCACACAGCCACGCGGUGGAUGGAGGCUGUACGCCCAGGCCAGCCUGAAGGAGGAGGCCCGUCCACCCACGGCGGGGGUGGAGGUGGGGUGCCCUCUUCCCACCCCUCUGCUUUGAGCCUGGCUGAGACAGAGGGUAGACUUAAAGAAGGACUUCCUGGCGGCGUGGGGGCCCGGCUCCAGCCGUCCUGGAGAGCCCCGGGGACUUCUGUGUCCGUGCCCACACCCGGAGCUGAUGAUCCUUACCUGGGCCUGCCUCCGGUACCGCCAGCUCUUGAAGAGAGGAGGGCUGGAGCGUGUGGCUGGAAGCUUAGCUUUGGCCUCGGGCAGCCUGGGUCCCAGUUCCAGCCCAUCUGGGUGAGCUUUGAACCAGCCGCUCCUCCUGUGAGUUUCCUCUUCUGUUUGUUUUUAUUAUUCAUUGACAUAGAAUUGUACCAAUUUAUGGAGUUCCCAUGAUGUUUCCAUAAAUGUGGAAAUCG
ensembl:lncRNA